AGUGAACGCUGGCGGUAGGCCUAACACAUGCAAGUCGAACGGCAGCACAGUAAGAGCUUGCUCUUACGGGUGGCGAGUGGCGGACGGGUGAGGAAUACAUCGGCAUCUACUUUUUCGUGGGUGAUAACGUAGGGAAACUUACGCUAAUACCGCAUACGACCUACGGGUGAAAGCAGUGGAUCUUCGGACCUUUCGCGAUUGAAUGAGCCGAUGUCGGAUUAGCUAGUUGGCGUGGUAAAGGCCCACCAAGGCGACGAUGCGUAGCUGGUCUGAGAGGAUGAUCAGCCACACUGGAACUGAGACACGGUCCAGACUCCUACGGGAGGCAGCAGUGGGGAAUAUUGGACAAUGGGCGCAAGCCUGAUCCAGCAAUACCGCGUGGGUGAAGAAGGCCUUCGGGUUGUAAAGCCCUUUUGUUGGGAAAGAAAAGCAGCAGGUUAAUACCUCGAUGUUCUGACGGUACCCAAAGAAUAAGCAACGGCUAACUUCGUG
rnacentral:rRNA from 1 species